rnacentral:lncRNA from 1 species
AUAUUGUGAUUUCCUUAUGACAUAGUUGUAAUGGAUUAUUUAUUGAAAAUUAACUGAACCUUCCUCAGUCUGUAUGUUUGUGCAUAUGCUGUUUCUUUUUAAGUUCAUGUAAAUUUAUUUAAUAGAAUCCUAGAAAUGGCACAUUUAACUCAUUGUUAACUCAUAUGACAAAAGAUACAGUGAUAUAGCCUUUUUGCGCUUAGCAACCUAAAGCAAAACCAACCAAUCAAUCAAUCAUAUGAUAAAGGCAAUAAUCAAUCAUAUCUGUCAUAUCUUUGAAAGAAUCACACCAACAAAAACAGUGUUUUUUUUUUGUAACAAAGGUAACUUUAAAAAUUUGAAUACUUAAUGUACAAGAC